CCUACGGGUGGCAGCAGUGGGGGAUAUUGCACAAUGGGGGAAACCCUGAUGCAGCGACGCCGCGUGGGUGAAGAAGCGCCUCGGCGCGUAAAGCCCUUUCUGCAGGGAAGAAAAUGACGGUACCUGAACCAGAACCCCCGGCUAACUACGUACCAGCAUCCGCUGUAAGACGUAGGGGGCACGCGUUAUCCGGGUUUCCUGGGUGGAAAGGGGGCCCAGACGGCGAUGCAGGCCAGGAGGGAAAGCCCGGGGCCCAAACCCGGGAGUGCUCUUGGAACUGCGUGGCUAGAGUGCAGGAGGGGCAGGCGGAAUUCCUGGUGUAGCGGUGAAAUGCGUAGAUAUCAGGAGGAACACCGGUGGCGAAGGCGGCCUGCUGGACUGCAACUGACGUUGAGGCCCGAAAGCGUGGGGAGCAAACAGGAUUAGAUACCCUUGUAGUC
rnacentral:rRNA from 1 species